GACGUAGGGCGCGAGCGUUGUCCGGAUUUAUUGGGCGUAAAGAGCUCGUAGGUGGUUCGGUAAGUCGGAUGUGAAAUCUCCAGGCUCAACCUGGAGGGGUCAUUCGAUACUGCCGUGACUAGAGUUCGGUAGGGGAGUGUGGAAUUCCUGGUGGAGCGGUGAAAUGCGCAGAUAUCAGGAGGAACACCCGUAGCGAAGGCGGCACUCUGGGCCGACAUUGACGCUGAGGAGCGAAAGCCAGGGGAGCAAACGGG
rnacentral:rRNA from 1 species